GGCAAGGGCACUCUGUGUUACAAGAAAAUUUUAGUAUUGUAAAACAAUUUGUAACCUUGCUAAAUAAAAUACAGCGCAAAAUCUUAAAUUGUCCCUAAUUCAUUUUGGGUUAGUUAUGAAAUUAGUGCAACAAUUU